UACGAAGGGGGCUAGCGUUGCUCGGAAUCACUGGGCGUAAAGGGUGCGUAGGCGGGUUUUUAAGUCAGGGGUGAAAUCCUGGAGCUCAACUCCAGAACUGCCUUCGAUACUGAGAGUCUCGAGUCCGGGAGAGGUGAGUGGAACUGCGAGUGUAGAGGUGAAAUUCGUAGAUAUUCGCAAGAACACCAGUGGCGAAGGCGGCUCACUGGCCCGGUACUGACGCUGAGGUGCGAAAGCGUGGGGAGCAAACAGG
rnacentral:rRNA from 1 species